CAGCAGGGCGCUGGAAUGGGUGAAGCCCUUGCCGCACUGGGCGCAAGUGUAGGGGCGCUCGCUGGUGUGGGUCCGCUGGUGGGACAGCAGGGUGCUGGAAUGGGUGAAGCCUUUUCCGCACUGGGCGCAGAUGAAGGGGCGCUCGCCGGUGUGGGUGCACUGGUGCACCAGCAGGUUGCUCGAUUGGGUGAAGCCUUUGCUGCACUGGGCGCAGGUGUAGGGGCGCUCGCCGGUGUGGGUGCG